CCGUCUCCGACCGACCACUCAAGUCUCAACUAUCAUUGCACCCAUUAGAGCUAGUUACCAUUGUGGUUGUGGUAGUACCCAAAGGACUUCCCUUAGCUGCCACUCUUACGAGGCUUCGAGAAGGAUGAUAAUGAUAAUG